AACGAACGCUGGCGGCAUGCUUAACACAUGCAAGUCGAACGAUUAAAGCACCUUCGGGUGUGUAUAAAGUGGCAAACGGGUGAGUAACACGUGGGAACCUACCUUGUAGUUUGGGAUAGCCCCGGGAAACUGGGAUUAAUACCGAAUACGCUCUACGGAGGAAAGAUUUAUCGCUAUAAGAUGGGCCCGCGCUAGAUUAGCUUGUUGGUAAGGUAAUGGCUUACCAAGGCUCCGAUCUAUAGCUGGUCUGAGAGGACGAUUAGCCACACUGGGACUUAGAUACGGCCCAG
rnacentral:rRNA from 1 species